AUGCACAUCCCCUCCUGCCCUGCCUCUGCAGCGACUCCGGGAGUCCCCGGAACCCUCGGCUGGAGAUUGCCUUAGCAACCACAUGUUAGGGGAGACAACCUCCAUCUGUUUGGCCUUCCUGUAAAUAUAACUGAGAUCUUGUGGAGUCUAUCAGUUGAAGCAAAAUGGGAAUUCUUUCCCCGUACUUAUUUUCAAAGUAUUUUCUCUUUGUCUAACAGCACAAGACUUCACAUUCAGACAGGACAUUAGAUGGUUAUCAGCCCAUGAAAGACAGGCUGGAAAGGUGUCACUUUGUAGGUGUCACCCCAAAAAAGACCAAAGCAGAACAGGCUGUUUCCCUGCUGAACAAGCUGCAGGAAAGGAGAAUUGCCUUUGAUAUGAGCAAGGAAAGAGACAGGUCAGCCAUCCAGCCAAUGAAAAUUCAUUUCCAAAAGUUCAUGGCAAGCAUAUGAGUGUACUCCAGUGGAAAAGCUUCACCCUUCCUGAUUAAAAAGAUGCUGCUGCCAUUUCCUCGUGCUCAGAAAGAUGAGUAGAUGGACAAUCUUCCAAAACAUCCCAUUGCUAAUUUUUUAUUCCUGCUCUUGUUAAGCAGGGAACAAGCAUGGAGGGGAAAGCCAGCACAUCUAGAAAUCUAGAGCUUUCUUGGGUGCCAUGUGAGCUGCCAUUGAACAGAAGAAAUUAAGUUGUUAAAUGCAAUUUUCAGAACAGUUUCUCUGUGUUAACAUGGCAAUUUUCCUAUUA